rnacentral:rRNA from 1 species
GACGAACGCUGGCGGCGUGCUUAACACAUGCAAGUCGAACGGAAAGGCCCUGCUUUUGUGGGGUGCUCGAGUGGCGAACGGGUGAGUAACACGUGAGUAACCUGCCCUUGACUUUGGGAUAACUUCAGGAAACUGGGGCUAAUACCGGAUAGGAGCUCCUGCUGCAUGUGGGGGUUGGAAAGUUUCGGCGGUUGGGGCUGGACUCGCGGCUUAUCAGCUUGUUGGUGGGGUAGUGGCUUACCAAGGCUCUGACGGGUAGCCGGCCUGAGAGGGUGACCUGCCACAUUGGGACUGAGAUAGGGCCCAGACUCGUACGGGAGGCAGCAGUGGGGAAUAUUGCACAAUGGGCGGAAGCCUGAUGCAGCAACGCCGCGUGCGGGAUGACGGCCUUCGGGUUGUAAACCGCUUUCGCCUGUGACGAAGCGUGAGUGACGGUAAUGGGUAAAGAAGCACCGGCUAACUACGUG